CCUACGGGAGGCAGCAGUGAGGAAUAUUGGUCAAUGGGCGUAAGCCUGAACCAGCCAAGUCGCGUGAGGGAUGAAGGUUCUAUGGAUCGUAAACCUCUUUUAUAAGGGAAUAAAGUGUGGGACGUGUCCUAUUUUGUAUGUACCUUAUGAAUAAGGAUCGGCUAACUCCGUGCCAGCAGCCGCGGUAAUACGGAGGGUCCGAGCGUUAUCCGGAUUUAUUGGGUUUAAAGGGUGGGGAGGCGGCCUUUUAAGUCAGCGGGGAAAGUCUGUGGCUUAACCAUGAGAUUGCCGUUGAAAAUGGGGGUCUUGAGUAUGUUUGAGGCAGGCGGAAUGCGUGGUGUAGCGGUGAAAUGCUUAGAUAUCACGCAGAACCCCGAUUGCGAAGGCAGCCUGCCGAGCCAUGACUGACGCUGAUGCACGAAAGCGUGGGGAUCAAACAGGAUUAGAUACCCGAGUAGUC
rnacentral:rRNA from 1 species